rnacentral:rRNA from 1 species
ACUACUUGGAUACCCGUGGUAAUUCUAGAGCUAAUACAUGCAAAAAACCCCAACUUCGGGAGGGGUGUAUUUAUUAGAUAAAAAACCAAUGCCCUCCGGGGCUNUCUGGUGAUUCAUGAUAACUUAACGGAUCGCAUGGCCUUGCGCCGGCGACGGUUCAUUCAAAUUUCUGCCCUAUCAACUUUCGAUGGUAAGGUAUUGGCUUACCAUNGUUUCAACGGGUAACGGAUUUUUAGGGAAAGAUCCCGGAGAAGGAGCCUGAGAAACGGCUACUACAUCCAAGGAAGGCAGCAGGCGCGCAAAUUACCCAAUCCCGACACGGGGAGGUAGUGACAAUAAAUACUGAUACAGGGCUCUUUUGGGUCUUGUAAUCGGAAUGAGUACAAUUUAAAUACCUUAACGAGGAACAAUUGGAGGGCAAGUCUGGUGCCAGCAGCCGCGGUAAUUCCAGCUCCAAUAGCGUAUAUUAAAGUUGUUGCAGUUAAAAAGCUCGUAGUUGAACCUUGGGCCUGGCUGGCCGGUCCGCCUCACCGCGUGUACUGGUCCGGCCGGGCCUUUCCUUCUGGAGAACCGCAUGCCCUUCACUGGGUGUGCCGGGGAACCAGGACUUUUACUUUGAGAAAAUUAGAGUGUUCAAAGCAGGCCUUUGCUCGAAUACGUUAGCAUGGAAUAAUAGAAUAGGACGUGCGGUCCUAUUUUGUUGGUUUCUAGAACCGCCGUAAUGAUUAAUAGGGAUAGUCGGGGGCGUCAGUAUUCAAUUGUCAGAGGUGAAAUUCUUGGAUCUAUUGAAGACUAACUACUGCGAAAGCAUUCGCCAAGGAUGUUUUCAUUAAUCAGUGAACGAAAGUUAGGGGAUCGAAGACGAUCAGAUACCGUCGUAGUCUUAACCGUAAACUAUGCCG